UGUCAACGCAGCAUGCCACCACUCGUAAUAUACGCGUCUAAGUAAAGAUGGAAUCAGAACAUUAUCUUAUUCCAUGUAAAAGACACUAUAAAUAAAAGCAUUAGAAAAGUAUGCAUCCACUCUUCCUGCAUUCACUCCUUUCUCUUAGAGUUUUAGUGCACAAUUUGGCGAGCAUUUCAAGUUUUAGUGCAGAAGUUGGCGAGCUUUUCGAGUUUUAGUGCACAAUUCGGCGAGCUUUUUAAGGUGACCAAUUCUUCCUCUCUCUAAUUCACACCGUUAAUUUGAUUGAACUUUCUUAGCAAAAGAUUUAAAGUUGUAAGUCAAUGAAUAUGAUAUUGAUCCUGCCUUGCAUAAUCAAUUUUGAUAGAUUAUUACUUUUUGUGGUUGGAAUUCUUGAUAAUUUGAUUAUAUUUACUAGAUUUUGAUCAAAACAUUGAGUAAUUUGUAGUGAUUUGAGUUUGAUUGGCGUUUUAUAUACUUCUUUUAACGAAAUAUCAUUGGGUGAUCUCUGUUUAUAGCAGAAAAUUUGGAUUUUCCCACUAAAUUUAUGCUUAACGAAUGACCUUUUAACAAGGUUGAAGGAGUUGAUGAUUUGUUUAUCGAAUUCAGUAUCAUUUUGAUGUUAAAUGGUUUUAAUAUCACAAAACCAAGAGAAACAUUUUAUGUAAAACUAUGCAUUUGUGCUAUACUCUUAAUAUUGGACUAGAUUAAACUUGGAAACUCACUGCAAUUUUUAACACUGGGGAAUGCUCAGCUGUUUGUAAUUUUUCACGCUAUCACAGUUCUCUAGUUGUUUCUGAUCCCCCGGCUAAGAAAAAUUCUACAAGGAAGGAAAAUAAGAAAGUUUUUCUUAUAGUAUUUUCGACUAUCCCAAUGAUCUUCGUUUCAUUGUUUCAUUCAUUCUUGCGAGAGAAUUUCAUGACUAAUAUCUAGUGUUGAAUCCCCAAGAUGCAGUGACUAAUGUUGAAUCCUCCAAUAUCAACUCAGUUACUCACAUGCAUUUUGGGCUUGGGGAUUUUGUUUUAGAAGCCUAGUCAACCAUAAUCUUUGGUAAAAUAGCCUAUAUCAAUACUUUUUGUUCAAGUAGUCUAUAGUCUAUUUGAUUAUAUAUUAAAAGUCUUAAAUACCCUUAAACUGAAAUGACUAAAAUGUCCAAUUUGGAAAUGAAUAUUACCCAAAUCCCCAAAUAUAAAUCCCUAAGUGAAUUAGCGGGUUGGGAUAUGUCAAUUCGGCCAAUCCCCUUCAUUUCUCUUGUUUCGAAGUCCAUUUUCAUCAUAUUAAACCCACAUUCAAAUUCAGCUUUAUUCUUUUUUAUAUGCAUUAUUCUUGCUUACAAUGAAUGAUUGCAUGUUGAAGUUCCCUUUCUUGAACCAAGAACAAAUCAAAUAGUGCAAAUUUUGGAGGUGGGUUAGCAAGAAUCGAUUUCACACAGUUGAAGAUAUGGACUCUGGUGCAAUGAUUGUUAUUUGUUAUUUUGUUAAAUUUGAAAAGAGUGAUGAAGAUGGAUGGAUUUGGAAAUGGAUAGGGAAUGAUGAAGACAUCGCAACAAAUAUUUUUGUAUAAAAAACAAUCUCAUAUGCAGAGUUGUAUAACGAAGUCCGAAAAGCAGUUAAGGUUGAUCCCAAUGUGUAUGACAUCGAGAUGAAAUUUCUCAUUUCCGGCAUGGCAAAAUUAUCAGUUCCGCCAAUAAAGAUUACUUGCAAUAUGGAUGUUAGUUGGUUUCUUUCUUUGCAUGACAAAGUUCCAAUUUGUGGAACCCUUGUAGAAAAGGGUUGUGUUGAUCAACAAGACAUGGAUGUUAAUAUUGUAAAUGUUCGGGAGAAUCAUGAAUACAAUUCAAAUGUUGUUGCAACUAA